GGAUCGGUGAGGACUCCCAUAAAUGCAUUCCUUGGAAAUAUGAACAAAAUGGGUGAGAAAUACCUACCAUCUUCUCAUCCUAACUGAGGGCC